rnacentral:lncRNA from 1 species
UUGUUAAUCAACUACAUAACAAAAUAACAAUCCUAGCCAAAUAUAUGGGCGUGCCACUCAUACAAACAAAUUUUAAAAGAUCGCCUCAAUAUUUGAUGCUACAUGUAUUGUAUUUUGAUGCUAGUGUGAAUUUUUUUAAUGCAAUUUUUUAUCACAAUAUAUGAUAAACAAUUACUACAGAUAUUACAAAAGAAUCAAAAUUCAGCAUAACAAAGUAUGAUGUAUGACUUAUACAGCCUUCAUUCACCGUUAUAUAUUAAUUAUCAUAAAGAUGAUGAGUGAAUGAUAUCAAAUAAGAAAAAAGAUAU